rnacentral:rRNA from 1 species
UACGUAGGGUGCGAGCGUUGUCCGGAAUUAUUGGGCGUAAAGAGCUUGUAGGCGGUCUGUCGCGUCUGCUGUGAAAAUCCGGGGCUCAACCCCGGACUUGCAGUGGGUACGGGCAGACUAGAGUGUGGUAGGGGAGACUGGAAUUCCUGGUGUAGCGGUGAAAUGCGUAGAUAUUGGGAAGAACACCUGAGGCGAAGGCGGGUUGCUGGGCUGAUACUGACGCUGAGGCGCGAAAGCCAGGGGAGCAAACGGG